rnacentral:tRNA from 1 species
GGGAGUAGAGCUCAGUGGUAGAGUGCAUGCUUGGUGUGGACACGGUCCUGGGUUCAAUCCCCAGUGCCUCUG